CUCAGAAGAAAGCAACAACGGGCUAUCAUUAGGAUCAUUGUCCGCUCGUGCCCUGGUGACCGAUUCGGAGACAGUUGUUCCGGACAAUGUCCACCGUGCAGGAAUGGAGGUAUCUGCCACGACAUCACGGGUGUGUGCGUCUGUCCAGCUGGGUUCAAAGGAAGACUCUGCGAAAGUCAUUGCAACGCCACGACAUUCGGCGAAGAAUGUCAGCACGACUGCCGCGUUCUGGAACGCAGUCGACUCAACUGCGCCGGACUCCUGUUUUGUCGUCCUGAUCCUUAUGGCUGUUCCUGCUUUCCUGGUUACACGGGGAAAGACUGCA